CGAAAAUGUUGGUUUCAGUGCAGCGGCGAUAAUGCGCAAAAAAACGACACGUACGAAAAAAACCCCUAAGUGUCGUGCUCAGAUAAAUAGAAAAAUAACACUGGCCCGGUUUCAAAUGUUCGCUUUUUAUUAGCAUAUAAUAACAAUUGACGAGCAAAAAACAAUAACCGGAGUGGACGAGCAGCAAUAAUCAUCAUUUUGAUCGCGGAAACAGAUUUUCCAGAUUUUCUUCUUGCAGAUUCAAAGACUCAAUACACUUGACGAUAGUCAAUAAGUUGAACCAAAGCAUCCUGCAGUGAAUUCUCGCGAAAAGAUCCAAAAACGUGGGUGUCGAUUUGGAUGAAAACUUAGAAAUCGGUGUCCCCUUUUCGCCUGGUACCCGCACUGAACGAAAGGAAGGAACAGACACAACCGGGAAAUGGAAAAGAAAACGCUCGUUCGCACGCACGCUUGCACGCACGCACCUUACCGACAACCGUUCACGACCGAUACCGAGGGAAAACUGUGAUGGCUCACAAGAAAACCUCGACCGAGAAAAUCGUCUAAAAUAUUCUGUAUGGACCUGUGUGUGCUUUUACAUACCACCCUCUGUCGUCACUACCACCACCACCACCACCAACGCCGUCGUUUGUUAUUCGUCGCCAAUUUUCGCUAGCAGCGAACGACCUCAUAUCCCUAACGGCAAUGACGGACCGUUUGUAUGCGGAAUCGACGUAAAGAUUGCUCUUGAGAUGUGGGAGAAUAAUGGCUGCGGCAGUGAUAUCAGAUAUUUUGAUUAGAGAACUGAACUGAACAUUGCGUUUAUUGUUUAUUUAUUGUUGCGGAAUGCCAGACUAUUCCGGAGACUUCAACAAUAAACAUCGACCAGUCAUCAAAUUUGCUAGCAUGAGUACAUUGCAGGAGUGCGAUUGAAAGUAACGAUAUCAUUUAUUACAAAAAAAAUCUUGUAUUUUGAAUUUAUUCACCUUCAUUUCUGACAUCGAAAACGAGAAAUAGAAUGUCACAAACCCGAAUAUAAAAUAACAUCAAAUUCAUUUGAAGACCGCAUAACUGAAGCUUGAUUAUAAAAUAUCGUCAAAUAAUCUCUUACACAAUCUGUACAAAAAGAGAAUAUCCUAAGAAAUAUGACCAUAUAUUAACUUCGAAAAAAAAGAUUGCAGCUUGCUAUGUAGGUAUUUGAAGGAAAAUAAUAUCCGAUACACAAAAACAAAAAAAACACAAAUGGAGACACCGGGGAUUGAACCCGGGACUUCUCACAUGCGAAGCGAGCGCUCUACCACUGAGCUAUGUCCCCUGUGUGAAACAUUGGGGUAAAUUAUAUUUGUCGUAUUUUGGAUUUUUUUUGUGUCAAUUUCAUAUGUAUGCCCAUAUUUAUGAAAGUGGUCUGAGUCAAUAUUUUAGGAAAUUAUAGAAUAAUAUAAUAAAUAAUAUGUAUCAUAGACAUAAUUUGAAAGCUGCGCGUAGCCUUUUUUGAUGCAUUUCUGAACUACAUAACAAGUUGAUAAAUAACAAUCAAAUAAUAACAUGAACGUCAAUUCAUUCCUGUUCAUCUAACGAUAUAAUUCAGUAGGUCUAACCCCCAAAAAAACACUU